rnacentral:rRNA from 1 species
GUCCACGCCUUAAACGAUGGAUGUUCGGUGUCGGUCCGCAAGGAUCGGUGCCUGAGCUAACGCGUUAAACAUCCCACCUGGGGAGUACGAUCGCAAGGUUGAAACUCAAAGGAAUUGACGGGGCCCGCACAAGCAGUGGAGCAUGUGGUUCAAUUCGAUGCAACGCGAAGAACCUUACCUGGGUUUGAAAGGCAAGUGACCGUCGAUGAAAGUCGAUCUGGUAGCAAUACCCACUUGUACAGGUGCUGCAUGGCUGUCGU